AGGGCCACGCUGGGCACCCCCAGCUGCAGGAAUCAAACUGACAGGCGACGCCCCGGCUUCCUCACAGGCAGAAAGUACUGAAAUAAUCAAAGUCACUCAGGAAUUUGGAAACCAAGGACCCGUAGUGCCCAAAUACCACCACAUGGGCGAGGACGGAAGUAUGCUGUCUUGGGUGUUGGUGGAGAGAUGUGAGAGGCAGCGAAGCCUGACACGCGCUCAGCAUCUCCCCUGACCUUCGCUCCCACCAGGACCAUUCCUGGAAACCCUGCCGCUCCUAACAGGAUCACUGGAAUUCUGGUUGGAGAUAAUAAGUAUUUGCUUUGAACGUGCCAGUGCCAAACGGACGGCUCGCCCUUGCCCCGGGAGACGGCCCACCAGACUCAGAGUGCUGGGCUGCAUUUUUCAAAUCCCCCGGAAAGCUCGAGGCAUUGUACGCGGGUCGCGCUGACCAGGCUGAUGUUUUACAGCCCAGCUCUCCAACAAUGCCAUUUACUGCAGACGAGAGAUCACAGCCGGCAGAUGUGGGCGGCCUUGCUCUGGCCUCUUGAAAUUGCAUCUGUUUUGAAAUGUGACUCGACUUCAAUCCGAAGCUGACCAUGACAUCCAUGGCAUGGACGGGAGGUGUUUACUAGAUAAGCUUUUGAUAUUUGAUGUUUGCUAAUCAUAUUAAAGGCUUGAAACAAAAUCCCAGCUACAAUAAAUCCUCACAAUUGUA